CUGACUUGUCCCAUCUUUUCAAGAGCCUCUCACCCCAGACCCUCUGAGCAGCCAGUGCUGUGCUGGGCACAGUAUUCUGUCUACACAGUCCUGCCCUCAGGGUUUCCUGGGUCAAGGAGAAUUCCCAGUGAGCAGAGCCAAGGCUGAUGCAGGACCUACGUGCUGGGCCACGGCCAGGACUGGAGCAAGCAUUGGUAUUUAAAAAAAAUCCUCCUCGGGUGGCUCUCAUAUUCAGCCAGUUUGAAAAUCACUGCUCUACCUGACGACGCCCCAUGGUACUGCCAAGGAGACUGAUGAGCCAUCAGAAGGCCCUUGAGGGAGUCAGGGGACAGGAAACCUGCAACGGUCUUCCCACCAGGCUGGGAGAGGAUGUGGUGGGUGGCGACCCAACCCUGCCUGGCUCUGCUAAUCAAGAACCAGCGAGGAGCUCAGAGAGGCCUGCUGCCAGCCUGCCGG